rnacentral:rRNA from 1 species
AGCAGCCGCGGUAAUUCCAGCUCCAAUAGCGUAUAUUAAAGUUGCUGCAGUUAAAAAGCUCGUAGUUGAAUUUCGGGACCAUCAUGUCGGUCGUGCCUCGGUACGUACUGGCAUUGUUGGUUUCUCCCUUCUGACGAACCAUGAUGUCAUUAAUUUGGUGUCAUGGGGAAUCAGGACUGUUACUUUGAAAAAUUAGAGUGUUUAAAGCAGGCUCACGCUUGAAUACAUUAGCAUGGAAUAAUGAAAUAGGACGUUUGAUUCUAUUUUGUUGGUUUCUAGGAUCGACGUAAUGAUUAAUAGGGAUAGUUGGGGGCAUUAGUAUUCAAUUGUCAGAGGUGAAAUUCUUGGAUUUAUUGAAGACUAACUACUGCGAAAGCAUUUGCCAAGGAUGUUUUCAUUAAUCAA